UACAGAGGGUGCAAGCGUUGUUCGGAAUUACUGGCGUAAAGCGCGUGUAGGCUGCUGCGUAAGUCGGAUGUGAAAGCCCUUGGCUUAACCAAGGAAGUGCACCCGAUACUGCGUAGCUUGAGUGUCGGAGGGGAUGGCGGAAUUCCCGGUGUAGGAGGUGAAAUUCGUAGAUAUCGGGAGGAACACCUGUGGCGAAGGCGGCCAUCUGGACGACAACUGACGCUGAGACGCGAAAGCGUGGGUAGCAAACAGG
rnacentral:rRNA from 1 species